AUUGAACGCUGGCGGCAGGCCUAACACAUGCAAGUCGAGCGGUAACAGAUCCAGCUUGCUGGAUGCUGACGAGCGGCGGACGGGUGAGUAAUGCAUAGGAAUCUGCCCGAUAGUGGGGGAUAACCUGGGGAAACCCAGGCUAAUACCGCAUACGUCCUACGGGAGAAAGGGGGCUUCGGCUCCCGCUAUCGGAUGAGCCUAUGUCGGAUUAGCUAGUUGGUGAGGUAAAGGCUCACCAAGGCAACGAUCCGUAGCUGGUCUGAGAGGAUGAUCAGCCACAUCGGGACUGAGACACGGCCCGAACUCCUACGGGAGGCAGCAGUGGGGAAUAUUGGACAAUGGGGGCAACCCUGAUCCAGCCAUGCCGCGUGUGUGAAGAAGGCCCUCGGGUUGUAAAGCACUUUCAGCGAGGAAGAACGCCUAGCGGUUAAUACCCGCUAGGAAAGAC
rnacentral:rRNA from 1 species